rnacentral:rRNA from 1 species
UGGGGUAACCGCAAGGAGCCAGCCGCCUAAGGUGGGACAGAUGAUUGGGGUGAAGUCGUAACAAGGUAGCCGUAUCGGAAGGUGCGGCUGGAUCACCUCCUUU